CUGAGGAAAGCGCAUGCGCAAGUGCGCUGCUCGUUGCUUGCAUACAACUCCCAAACUAAUCGCAAUGGCGCUACGAGCUAUACCAGCUGAACCAGCUUCCCGCUAUUCGUUGACCCAAACGUGCGCACACCGCAAGAGUUUACUCUCUUUCGCUCUCUAGCUCGCGCUCGAAAGCCUAAUUUAUCGAGGGACUCUCCUCGGCUCGUUCAACACGCCCGAGGAAAGAAAAACUCUGUCCCUGGAGCCCCGCGGGUCUUCCUCAGGGAAACAAAACACAACGAGCGAGCGUGCGCUGGCUCGCCUCUUGGAGAAAUGGCUCAUCGGUGGCUCAUCGGUGUCUCCGCAGUUCGGACCGAUUUGCCAUUGGACUUUGGCGAAAUAUAGAACCAAUAAAUUACAUCUAUAUACGUCAGCCUAUGCGCAUCACAAAAGUGCGUUUCUCACUGCGCAUGCGCGCUCACACUUUCCCAUGAAUAUUUCUGCCAAUCAAGCGAUUUCUCCAAUUAUAUAUUUAUAUACACAUCUAUAUCUAUAUUUCUUUCGCAUAGUAUCCAUAAAAAUAAUCGGUGACGCGUUCGGACGAUGAGUAAUUACGAAUAAUUAUGAAUUAUAUUUUGACGCAAUACCUGCCAAUGACAAAAGAAACUGCGAUUCAAGAUU